CAACAAGGUGACAAGGGAAAUAUGUUUAUACACAGUAUGAGUGAGUGGAGGAUGGAUGAGAGAACACCUCCUAGAAAAUGCAGAUUUCAUAUAUUUGAGGACCAUAGAGAGCAGGAAGCUUGUCUACCAGAAAAAGGAAGAAAGGUCACCAACUCAUUUGUGUUGUUUCUAACUGGCAGGAUGUGAAGAGGUGGCAGAGGAAGACCAGUAAGAAAACAGCUACUGGAAAAGGUUGUACAGAUGCAGGAAAAAAUGCAGAAGAGACCAAGACACCAUCACAACCUAUGGAAAUCCCCAACAAGCAACAUUACAACAAUCUUAUUUGAUUUUUAUGGGGUACAUCCUCUAUAAACUCUGAAUCAGUUGUGGAUACUGCCCAUGAGCUCAGAAGCUUUUCCUUGGGAAAACAUGAAUCUGUGAUGUUUAUUGAUACCUGUGGCCUGAUGAAGGUUCAUCCAAGGCUAAAGGACUUCCACAGCAUUCCCAGUAUCGGCCAUUACCUCACCACCAUGUGACACCAAACUUGGUAGAUGAGAAACAAGUCCAAGAAAAAAAAAUCCUCCCAAGAUCUACCCCAAAACAAACACCUCCUUGUUUCAAAAGUAGGACCUAUGUGGUGCCAUAUCCCACCACUGAGAGAAGGAUACAGGCAUCCCUACCAGCUGGAAGCCUGCCUGGGAAACAUGGACCAUAUUAAAAGAAACCAAAGGUUAUGAUGAGCAAAAGCAUAAAAAAGCUAUUAGCAAGCCCACUGACAACUUGCCCAGGGGCACCCUGCAUUGUAAAGCUAUCAGUCCAGCCACCAUCCAUCCUGAGCAUUGCAGGAGGCUCCAGCUCCAUAAGGACCCAGAGAAUAAUGAAAAGACAACUAGAGUCAGAGAACAACAAGGAACCCCAUUCAGAUUCCUCCCCUACAGGAAACCGACCCAGGUACAGGAACAUUUGCCAGCAAACACUGUUCAUUAUUGCAAGAACAGGCCUCAACUCUCCCAGCCUGCGCAGCCCUCCAUCUUCAACACCAAACCCUACAAAUGUAGUAAAUGGAAGGGGUUUGUGCCCACAGGGCUGCCCUUAAAGAAGGACAUAGCAAAGUCUGAUGUGCAUAACACCAUCAAGAAGGACCUUGGUGUUGGGGCACAAAAGGUGCCUGGCACUGCAAGCAGCAGCCCUGGGAAGGAGGUGAGACCCAGGAAACCUGCACUGAGGACAGACAAGGUGUCUUCCAUGAAACCUACUGAGCACUAUUCCCUGCCUGAGGCAAAGAGAGCAUCAAAUUUCACAGAGCUUCCAGUGGUAGCUCCAUAAAGCUCAAGGAUAUAGCCAAGUCUAGGAUAGCAGAAAAAGAAGAGGCUACUUCUAAAAACUCUUGCAAGAAUACCUUAAGCAAUGAUUUACCAGAAAGAAACCUCAGCAAAAAAUACAGUUGUCAAGGGGAUUCUUUAAUGAUUGAUCAACCAACACCAGCUGCUGAGCAGACAAAAGUCUUAACCAUUAAAAUGGUCAUCUACAGAAUGAUAGCUGCACUGAAAUCCCUUGUGGAUGUUCUGUUCCAGAUCUUGGAGGACACUGAAGGGGACCCAUCAGAGGUACAAGGGAGUGAAGUGGAAUCACUGACACCCCAGCUAACAUCCCACUCUUCUGAGAGUCUGUUUGACACAAACUAUAGCAGACCAGCAAGCAGGAGGAGCUGUGGCCAUUCCAGCCCUGAGACGCAUAACUAUUCUUUCACAUAUAGAGGAAUGGGAGACAAACUGCAGUUAGGGAUUAAAGCCCAAAGAGCCUGUGACCCAUAUAUGAACCAAGAGAAGAGCAGGAUGUGCUUUGACCAGCUCCACAUGCCCAAGGGGAAAGAACUUCCAUGUGAGUACAGGAGAAUUGGAGCCAAGCAGGAGCUAGGUCUUGCUGCCCAGCAAGCUUCUGACUCUAGGUUUUGGGAUAGAAAGGAGCUGUGGUUGGCCUGGGAUGGGUGCUAACCAUGAGAGUGUUUUUCAAGGCACUGCAGUGAUGCUGUGACCCUGGAUGGGGGGACCCAAGUUCACCUGACAGCAGGUAGCUUUAAUCUCUCAACUGCAGUUCUCUUUCAUAUCCUGUACAAAUCAAUCUUAGUCGACUUUUCUGGGGUACAUUGUCUAUUAUCUCUCAACUAGUUGUGGCUACUAACCAUGAGCUCAGAAGCCCUUCCUUGGGAAAACAUAAAUCUGUGACAUUUAUUGAUGCCAGUGGCCUGAUGAAGGUUCAUCCCAGGCUAAAAGACUUCCACAGCAUUCCCAG
rnacentral:lncRNA from 1 species